CACGCGAGGUCCGCCAUGGCGCCAGGUCCCAGCUCGGAUCCCCAUCGCGCCCGUCCGCUCCAGCCGUCACCAACUAUAUCUGGCAGCGGUAAAGGAGCAGUGGACGCAGCAUCUUCGGUCCCCUCUACCUCCGUUGCCCGCGUGCCCUAUCAUCUCGCGGCGAAAAAGGAGUAGUCCACGCGGUGUCUUCUGACGGUAAUCGACGACCUCGAGGUUGGUUCCUGAACAGGUUCAUCUCGCACCUCUCCUUUUUCUUGAAAUUACUGAUUUUGCCUAAAGUACUCAAGUGUGAUGAGUAUAACAGAAAUUUUGGGUAUAUGUAUGCUAGGAUUCAUGUGGUGCAAUAGCACACAUUUGAUGCUUAAUAAUAUGGAUUUAACACACUCUCCAUUCAGUUAUGUUGGCCUUUUUCUCCCGAGUGCAACGGAGGUUAUAAAAUACUGUCGCACAAACCUAUUGUGUGUUCGCGUAAAUAUCCUUAUCUCUUGCUCUAUCGUCUUAGGGAUCGAACUCCUGGUUCUGCCUUCCAAGGAGGAAAGAAGCAAAUUUUAGACAUUUCACAAUUGGAUUGUUUACAUGUGACGUAUUAUUUUUAUUCAAAUUAUGAGUUUCUAUGUGAAAUUACUCGUCUGAAAAUUGUUGUGGAUUUUACAUCUUUCUAUCCCUCCCGAAUGCUAAUAUUAGCUGAUUUGUGUCCUGACUCAUUUCAAUGGCUUGCAGAUAUACUAAAAGGAAAAUAAAGGUGAUGUAACUGUAACUAGCACCUUCAGGGCCAUUAGGUCGGAUACAAAAAUUGGUGGAGACUGGAGACGUUCUGCAACUAAAUCAAACUCUACUUUUUUUUUCUGAAUAUCAGCUAACAACAUUUCUAAUUUCUGAUGGAGUAGAUUUGUUGUCUAGUCAAAUUGAAAGGGGAAAAACUUUUAUAUCAAAUCACUGCCGGCAUAUCAAAUUUACUGAUAUACAUCUCUGCCAUCUUAUCAGAUUUUGACGGCUAUUAUUUAUCUUCAUGCUUGAAUUAUUAUUUAUCUUCAUGCUUGAAUUCUUACAGUCAUUUUGAAAUUAGAUUGGGCGUGGAACUUCCUGCUACUACUGCUGUUUUAAUUAUCUUUACUGGCAGUACAGUUAUUAUCAUGGAAUAAUCUGUUUUAAUAAUCUUAUUUUAGAUCAGUAUGCAAAUCCAUGUAACUUUACUCGAUUUCACCCAUUAACAUACCAAUCAUUUCCCAGACCUGCAGAUUGACAACUUAUUAAUUACUGUUAGUAGCUUUGAAAAAUAACCCUUAGAUAAAAAUUAAACAUGUAGAUUGAAGUAUUUUUAUUUUUAUUUAACGAUGCACUGAACUUUUUACUGCAUAAUAGGCUGCGUUGGCGUGGAGAUGCACAUGCAAGUUGAUAGCUGAUAGCAAUGAGUAAAUCGAAUAGCUGCUCAGUUCCUCCUCUGCAUUCUAACAUGCUGAGCAACCGGCGUUGAGGACCUCCUUGGCACCCGAGAAGAGGUUGUUGGUCUGGAGCGGUACUGAAGGCAGGCAAUAUUUCCUAAACACUUCAAAAUGGAUAGAGGAAUUCAGAACUGAGGGGCAGUGAUUUCUAUAAUUGUGCUGAUUAGGAACAAAACUGAUCGUGUUGACAAGAGAUUGGACGGAGGCAUAUAACCUCUUCAAAGAACCAAGGUAUCAAGGAUCUUCCUGUCAAUGUAAAAUAAAAAAAUAAACAAUCUCUGUUGGUAGGUAAUACUACAAUGUUGAGAUAAUACUCCAUCUCAGUGGCCGAUGACAAUGCAGAGGAAUAGUUUCUAGAGCCAAAGGGUGAACAUCAAGGUUUAAUACUUCAAGGUUUAAGUUGCAACUUACGCACUACUGCACCAACCUACUUGUGCCGUUUAGACAUCAUUUUUUAUAGUGCUGUAGAUGUUAGAUUAUUGUCACAGAGCCAAUUAAAAUUUUUAAAAUUUGUUUACCUCCUUUGUGCUUCAAGAUUUGUGAAUAUGCUUUCUCCUAUAUCUAUGAGACUGUGCAAACGCAUCCUGAAGAUUUAGCAGACAAUGUGUUUCACUGCUGGUCAAAGGUAUUUAUGUAUUGUAUCAAACAUGUCUACGUUUGACCUAUUUAUUAUAUAUAUCAGAUUCAGAUUGAUAAAUAUUUAAACAA